AAUUAAUGAACUUGUAUAAGUAUUUGUUUUGAAAACAAAAUAAAGAAGUAUAAUCUUCUAUUAAUUU
rnacentral:tRNA from 1 species